CAGCAGUUCCAGCUCUGACAGCGACUCUGAUGAAAAAAAGAAGAAAAAGAAGGACAAAAAAUAGUGUCUCGACCCUGGCCCUUACCUCUUUUACAAUGUAACUCUUGUUUUAUUGCAUAUGCAGUUUACGUC